rnacentral:rRNA from 1 species
GAUGAACGCUGGCGGCGUGCCUAAUAUAUGCAAGUCGAGCGAACGGACGAGAAGCUUGCUUCUCUGAUGUUAGCGGCGGACGGGUGAGUAACACGUGGAUAACCUACCUAUAAGACUGGGAUAACUUCGGGAAACCGGAGCUAAUACCGGAUGAUAUUUUGAACCGCAUGGUUCAAAAGUGAAAGACGGUCUUGCUGUCACUUAUAGAUGGAUCCGCGCUGCAUUAGCUAGUUGGUAAGGUAACGGCUUACCAAGGCAACGAUGCAUAGCCGACCUGAGAGGGUGAUCGGCCACACUGGAACUGAGACACGGUCCAGACUCCUACGGGAGGCAGCAGUAGGGAAUCUUCCGCAAUGGGCGAAAGCCUGACGGAGCAACGCCGCGUGAGUGAUGAAGGUCUUCGGAUCGUAAAACUCUGUUAUUAGGGAAGAACAUAUGUGUAAGUAACUGUGCACAUCUUGACGGUACCUAAUCAGAAAGCCACGGCUAACUACGUG